rnacentral:lncRNA from 1 species
UUGCAAAUGUCUUCCUCCAUUUUGUGGUUUGCCUUUUCAUUCUCCUAAUGGAACAUGUUGCUUUACAGAAGCAUCUAGUUUUAACAGAGUCUUGUUUAAGACAGUGUCAACACGCACUGGGCUGGCCUGGUCCCUGAACUCAGGUGUGUUUCCUUUGCAAACUCUAGAGCAGAGAGACAAGGGAGGAAGGACAGAUAGCGGCAGAGCAUGUGGAAAUGUUUUCCACGAACGAUGGCUUUGAGUGACAGCAUCAUUUGAGUGACAGCAUCAUUUGAGUGACAGCAUCAUUUGAGUGACAGCAGUGGUAGGUUUAGGAGUUUUGGGGAUCAUACAGGUAGUAUUAAUUCAGGCCACUUCAGGGGAGAUUGAGAUGAGUCUUGCUGCUGUCCCUUUGAAAAAGAUUUAUUUAGGUUCCCAGCUUUAUAUAGCGGUCCAUUAGAUCUGGCCCUGGGCCUUACAUUCUCUCAUCCAUUCUGCUAUCAAAAUAGCAUGACUAGAUUCCAGGGCUCAGCAGAAACCCUCAGGAUCUCCAAGGUCUCUGCUCUCACAUGGAGGGUUUCUGGUUAGCACCUAGAACGUGUUUGUGGGUACACAAAUCCCACAUCAGCUCCCCGGUCCCAGGGAUACUGGCUUCUUGC